rnacentral:rRNA from 1 species
CCCGCACAAGCGGUGGAGCAUGUGGUUUAAUUCGAUGCAACGCGAAGAACCUUACCUGGUCUUGACAUAGUAAGAACUUUCCAGAGAUGGAUUGGUGCCUUUCGGGAACUUACAUACAGGUGCUGCAUGGCUGUCGUCAGCUUGUGUCGUGAGAUGUUGGGUUAAGUCCCGCAACGAGCGCAACCCUUUUCCUUAUUUGCCAGCGGGUUAAGCCGGGAACUUUAAGGAUACUGCCAGUGACAAACUGGAGGAAGGCGGGGACGACGUCAAGUCAUCAUGGCCCUUACGACCAGGGCUACACACGUGCUACAAUGGUCGGUACAAAGGGUUGCUACCUAGCGAUAGGAUGCUAAUCUCAAAAAGCCGAUCGUAGUCCGGAUUGGAGUCUGCAACUCGACUCCAUGAAGUCGGAAUCGCUAGUAAUCGCGGAUCAGAAUGCCGCGGUGAAUACGUUCCCGGGCCUU